rnacentral:rRNA from 1 species
CCUACGGGAGGCAGCAGUGGGGAAUAUUGCACAAUGGGGGAAACCCUGAUGCAGCGACGCCGCGUGAGCGAAGAAGUAUUUCGGUAUGUAAAGCUCUAUCAGCAGGGAAGAAAAUGACGGUACCUGAGUAAGAAGCUCCGGCUAAAUACGUGCCAGCAGCCGCGGUAAUACGUAGGGAGCAAGCGUUAUCCGGAUUUACUGGGUGUAAAGGGCGUGUAGACGGGAAUGCAAGUCAGAUGUGAAAACCACGGGCUCAACCUGUGGACUGCAUUUGAAACUGUAGUUCUGGAGUACUGGAGAGGCAGACGGAAUUCCUAGUGUAGCGGUGAAAUGCGUAGAUAUUAGGAGGAACACCAGUGGCGAAGGCGGUCUGCUGGACAGCAACUGACGCUGAGGCGCGAAAGCGUGGGGAGCAAACAGGAUUAGAUACCCUUGUAGUC